UAAUGUGGUUGUUUUUACUUUAUGAUGGUGGUUUUUGCUUUACAAUAUUUUCUAACUUUCUGCUUCUUUCAGAUCAUUGCCCAUGUUCUUUCUGAAAUUCUAAAUCUGUUCUUCUUGAUGUGAGGAGAUCACAUUCUGGUUUUAUGAUUUAAUGUAUGGAUGAUUCGUUAAAGCGAUUGGUUCUUACAUCAACAUUUUGGGGCCGAAAGUUGGAACUUUAAUGAAGAUUUCAACAAUUUUCUUUGUGAUUGCAGUUCAUCGGGAUCUUUCAUUACAACCACAAACUUGCAACAUGGUUCAGGAUGCGACGUUGUAGUUUUAUUAAGAAAUGAAUUCAAGAUGUAAAAUUUUUACACAUUUGUUCAUUUAUAAUUAUAGGAUAUUUUUUUUUA